UACGUAGGGGGCUAGCGUUGUCCGGAAUCAUUGGGCGUAAAGCGCGCGUAGGCGGCCAGAUAAGUCCGGUGUGAAAGUCACAGGCUCAACCUGUGAAUGCCGCUGGAAACUGUCUGGCUAGAGUCCGGAAGGGGCGAGUGGAAUUCCUGGUGUAGCGGUGAAAUGCGCAGAUAUUGGGAGGAACACCAGUGGCGAAGGCGGCUACCUGGACGGUUUCUGACACUAAGACUCGAAAGCGUGGGGAGCAAACAGG
rnacentral:rRNA from 1 species